CCGGAAAGUCUUCAACCUGUUUGUGGGCAAGAAGCACUUGAUCUCCUAAAUUGCACCACUGAAUCGAGUUACGAUAACGAGAAAUGCCUAAGGUUGCUUGAAGCUUUGCGCCAAUGCGUAAUCAACAAGGUAAAGCAUGAUAAUAUCAGACAGUGUUAUGUUAAAAUCUAAGUGGACACUUAGAUGAGACAGUGGACAUACAAAUGUUGAAAGCUAGUGCAAAAGGUUGGGUCUAGUUUCAGAAACCUUAUGCCAGAAUAGACUGAUAUAGACUUUAUAAAGGUUCAAUCGCUGCAUGAUAGAAAUAAAGUAAAGAAGUUCUCACUUUCUGAUCCGAGGAUUGGGAAACCAGAAGGGAGCAAUGAGAAAAGAAGUUAA